UACGGAGGGGGCGAGCGUUAUUCGGAUUCAUUGGGCGUAAAGGGUGCGUAGGCGGCGCGGUAAGUCGGGUGUGAAAUCUCGGGGCUUAACUCCGAAACUGCAUUCGAUACUGCCGUGCUUGAGGACUGGAGAGGAGACUGGAAUUUACGGUGUAGCGGUGAAAUGCGUAGAUAUCGUAAGGAAGACCAGUGGCGAAGGCGGGUCUCUGGACAGUUCCUGACGCCGAGGCACGAAGGCCAGGGGAGCAAACGGG
rnacentral:rRNA from 1 species